ACAUACCUGUCUGGUUAUCAACAGAGAGUUUGGACACCUGUAUACCUGUAUUCUACCAAUCACUUGUAACAUACCUGUCUGGUUAUCAACAGAGAGUUUGGACACCUGUAUACCUGUAUUUCUACCAAUCACUUGUAACAUACCUGUCUGGUUAUCAACAGAGAGUUUGGACACCUGUAUACCUGUAUUCUACCAAUCACUUGUAACAUACCUGUCUGGUUAUCAACAGAGAGUUUGGACACCUGUAUACCUGUAUUCUACCAAUCACUUGUAACAUACCUGUCUGGUUAUCAACAGAGAGUUUGGACACCUGUAUACCUGUAUUCUACCAAUCACUUGUAACAUACCUGUCUGGUUAUCAACAGAGAGUUUGGACACCUGUAUACCUGUAUUCUACCAAUCACUUGUAACAUACCUUAAUUUGUACCUUUGGACGGACAGACCCGGAGGAAACCUAUAGUCCCCUCUGGUUUCAUUGAUGAUGGACCACUCUACUUCCUUUUACAACAGGUGCCCCUACAGAUUCACAAAGUUCCAGUGUUGAGUUUCCAUGACCCCUAUUCAUCCACAACAGAAAAAGGAAUAAAGUUGACAGGACUUUCCACAUUGUCUUUGGUAGCUGCAGCUUACAAUAGAGCCAACUGCAGUAGACAUAGCAAUUGCUUCAUCAAAGAUGCACCAGAUGCAGCGGCACUGUCUCCAUCACUGGUGAAAUGGGAUAUGACUAGUGGAGGGUCAUCACUUUGUAACUUGCCAUAACAAUUAGCAGCCUUGUUGUCAUCUAAUCCCUUUAAUUCUCAUCUCCAAUGGUGGUCUACGGUGGAAUG